AUUGCUUUAAUGUACAAGGGCUAAAGUUUAAGAUCACAGUUCAAGAAGAAUAUUGACAAGAUGCAACACAUACAGAGGAGCAGGAACAAAAUGAUUACACCUGAGGUCAGCUUCUACAUGAGUAUAUAGAAGAAGAAGCAGAAGUGAAAGUGGAAGCAGAAGCUGAAGGAGAAGCUGAAGCCAAAACCAAAACCAAAGCAUAAGGAGAAGGAGAUGGAGAAAGAGGAGACGGUGACGGAGACGGAGACAGAGAUGGAGAAGAGAGGAAGAAGAAGGAGAAGGAGAAGAUGCCAGCAUUCUUACCAGAGUUGCUAAUGCAUGCUGUAUUACCGGUGAAGGUGAAGAUCUUGGCUCUACAGCAUGUCCACUGGCCAGAAACUAUUGUACUUUACCUGGGUCAUGUAAACAUCUGUGCUGUAUAAUCAGGUUUGUGUACCAAUGGUAUUGCUUAACUUAAAUCUAAUAAAGUUAGUGGACCUAUGCUAAAAAAGCAAAGAAAAUACAAUAUGUUCCUAGUUUGAAAGUAUUAUUUCCUGUUUAAUGGUGUAGUCCUUACUUUAAAAGUAGUGAAU